ACUCAUACUUGGCAGGGGUGAAACCAUGAUCACGAAGGUGGUUUCCCCAGGGCGAGGCUCACCCAUUGCACUCUGGGUGUGCCGACCUCUGCGAUUUCCCCAAAUGUGGGAAACUCGACUGCAUAAUUUCUGGUAGUGGGGGGCAGCGUUUGUGCUGUCCCCUG